rnacentral:miRNA from 1 species
ACAUGAAUCACCUGCAACCUUGUUAAAAUGCCGAUUCAGGAUUCUGUGUUUCUAACAAGUUAUUAGGUGAUGCUGAG